CGUGCCUAAUACAUGCAAGUAGAACGCUGAAGAGAGGAGCUUGCUCUUCUUGGAUGAGUUGCGAACGGGUGAGUAACGCGUAGGUAACCUGCCUUGUAGCGGGGGAUAACUAUUGGAAACGAUAGCUAAUACCGCAUAACAAUGGAUGACACAUGUCAUUUAUUUGAAAGGGGCAAUUGUUCCACUACAAGAUGGACCUGCGUUGUAUUAGCUAGUAGGUGAGGUAAUGGCUCACCUAGGCGACGAUACAUAGCCGACCUGAGAGGGUGAUCGGCCACACUGGGACUGAGACACGGCCCAGACUCCUACGGGAGGCAGCAGUAGGGAAUCUUCGGCAAUGGGGGCAACCCUGACCGAGCAACGCCGCGUGAGUGAAGAAGGUUUUCGGAUCGUAAAGCUCUGUUGUAAGUCAAGAACGGGUGUGAGAGUGGAAAGUUCACACUAUGACGGUAGCUUACCAGAAAGGGACGGCUAACUACGUGCCAGCAGCCGCGGUAAUACGUAGGUCCCGAGCGUUGUCCGGAUUUAUUGGGCGUAAAGCGAGCGCAGGCGGUUUGAUAAGUCUGAAGUUAAAGGCUGUGGCUCAACCAUAGUUCGCUUUGGAAACUGUCAAACUUGAGUGCAGAAGGGGAGAGUGGAAUUCCAUGUGUAGCGGUGAAAUGCGUAGAUAUAUGGAGGAACACCGGUGGCGAAAGCGGCUCUCUGGUCUGUAACUGACGCUGAGGCUCGAAAGCGUGGGGAGCGAACAGGAUUAGAUACCCUGGUAGUCCACGCCGUAAACGAUGAGUGCUAGGUGUUGGAUCCUUUCCGGGAUUCAGUGCCGCAGCUAACGCAUUAAGCACUCCGCCUGGGGAGUACGACCGCAAGGUUGAAACUCAAAGGAAUUGACGGGGGCCCGCACAAGCGGUGGAGCAUGUGGUUUAAUUCGAAGCAACGCGAAGAACCUUACCAGGUCUUGACAUCCCGAUGCUAUUUCUAGAGAUAGAAAGUUACUUCGGUACAUCGGUGACAGGUGGUGCAUGGUUGUCGUCAGCUCGUGUCGUGAGAUGUUGGGUUAAGUCCCGCAACGAGCGCAACCCCUAUUGUUAGUCGCCAUCAUUCAGUUGGGCACUCUAGCGAGACUGCCGGUAAUAAACCGGAGGAAGGUGGGGAUGACGUCAAAUCAUCAUGCCCCUUAUGACCUGGGCUACACACGUGCUACAAUGGUUGGUACAACGAGUUGCGAGUCGGUGACGGCGAGCUAAUCUCUUAAAGCCAAUCUCAGUUCGGAUUGUAGGCUGCAACUCGCCUACAUGAAGUCGGAAUCGCUAGUAAUCGCGGAUCAGCACGCCGCGGUGAAUACGUUCCCGGGCCUUGUACACACCGCCCGUCACACCACGAGAGUUUGUAACACCCGAAGUCGGUGAGGUAACCUUUUGGAGCCAGCCGCCUAAGGUGGGACAGAUGAUUGGGGUGAAGUCAUAACAAG
rnacentral:rRNA from 1 species